rnacentral:lncRNA from 10 species
UCAUUCUCUCUCUCUUGUCUUGUCUACCGCCAUGUAAGACGUGUCUUUCACCUUCUGCCAUGAUUGUGAGGCCUCCCCAGCCACAUGGAACUGAGUGUCAGCCGUGACCCUUAUGAUGGAUGAGAAGAGGUAUCAUGCCUUUUCCACCCCUACACCUGGAAGGAAGGUUCUGCAGCAAGUUCAUGAGAGACGAUAUGUGGAAUGUAAUCAGAGCAUACCUCUUAAUACUUAAAAGCCUUUGCAGGGAGAUCUCUCUUCCCAUCUCCUUCCUGGAAGACAGAAGCCUUGUGCGAGCCCCUUGUGUGAUGUCACCCCAGCUAGGGCCACCGGACGUUGGUCCUCAGCAGGGAGACUUUGGGUCCUCCACCAGGACCCAGGGCUGACCUGCAUGGCCAGGCCCCAUGGCCUGGGUAGAACCUUGUUUCUGCUCCAGUGGCACAAAUUGCUUUUGUAAUAACAGGAAAAAACGAUCAACGAACCUUCAUUUAAGAAAAAGCACAGCGUUCUCAUGGGAACCAAGAAGACAAGCCCUUAAUGCAAAGUGUAUUCAGAGAGAAGAAAACAAGAAAAGCA